rnacentral:rRNA from 1 species
CGGUGUUCAACUGGCGUGCCCGCGGGACGUCCUGCCGGUGAGCUCAGCCCGCGAGGGCGGCUCAACUUGAAAUCCCAUCGCGGUGCUCUUCAUUGAGUGUCGAGGUGGGCCGGCACGAUUACUUUUGAACAAAUUAGAGUGCUUAAAGCAGGCUAAAAUUUUGCCUGAAUACUGUGUAUAUGGAAUAAUGGAAUAGGACCUCGGUUCUAUUUUGUUGGUUUUCGGAACCCCGAGGUAAUGAUUAAUAGGAACGGAUGGGGGCAUUCGUAUUGCGACGUUAGAGGUGAAAUUCUUGGAUCGUCGCAAGACGGACUAAAGCGAAAGCAUUUGCCAAAAACGCUUUCAUUGAUCAAGAACGAAAGUUAGAGGUUCGAAGGCGAUCAGAUACCGCCCUAGUUCUAACCAUAAACUAUGCCAGCUAGCGAUCCGCCGACGUCCCUCUGAUGACUCGGCGGGCAGCUUCCGGGAAACCAAAGCUUUUGGGUUCCGGGGGAAGUAUGGUUGCAAAGCUGAAACUUAAAGGAAUUGACGGAAGGGCACCACCAGGAGUGGAGCCUGCGGCUUAAUUUGACUCAACACGGGAAACCUCACCAGGCCCAGACACUGGAAGGAUUGACAGAUUGAGAGCUCUUUCUUGAUUCAGUGGGUGGUGGUGCAUGGCCGUUCUUAGUCGGUGGAGCGAUUUGUCAGGUUAAUUCCGAUAACGGACGAGACUCUGACCUGAUAACUAGACGCACUUGCGGCAUCUCAAAGGUCCGCCGGCGGCUGGCUUUGCGCCCGUCGUCGCGCGCGAUUUUUACUACCAACGUACAAACAAAUCUUCUUAGAGGGACAGGCGG